CGAGGAUUCCUUUAUAACGGCGAGUGAACAAGGAAAAGCCCAGCGUUGAAUCCCAUGAUCAUUGAACGAUCAUUCGGGACCUGUAACGUAUAGGUAUAGCCAUUUGUUGCCAGCGUUUUGAAUACUCUAAGUUCCCUUGACUGGGGCUAUCGCCCAUUGAUGGUGCUAGGCCAGUAAGAGUAUUGAAAUGUUGGUAAUGUUUCGGCUAUACCUUGGAGUCGAGUUGCCUGAGAUCGCAGCUCAAAGUAGGUGGUAAACUUCAUCUAAGGCUAAAUAUCGCUACGAGACCGAUAGCCAACAAGUACCGUGAGGGAAAGUUGCAAAGAACUUUGAAGAGAGAGUUCAAGAGUACGUGAAACCGUUGGGAGGAAAACGGAUAGAGUCGGCGAUUUGCUAGUAGCACUCAGCUAAUCAACGUUUACUGCUACUGUCUAGGUUGAAUCGUUCAACUUGUUGUUCGAUAGCUUAGUCGGUUGUCCAGUUGGUUGUUCAAACGUUCGAUUGGUGCAAUUGCUGCUAGUAUGCGCUAAGGUAUUCGCUGCUUGUAUAUGCUUUAAACGGUGUUGGAAGAGGACUAUAUCACUUGUUGGUAUAGAACCCUUCCGCAUUGUGUGGUAUAUUCGUAGUGAAUAUAAAUUCGGUGUGUGUAUGGAUCACUAUGGUUCUCUGAGCUGUGGCGUUCAUUGAUUCUUGGUGGUUUUUUGCAUUUGACAGUGGCGUGCCACUUUGUCUUAUGUGUCCAAGGCUGUCGAUCGAUGUUCUUGUUACAGUUAGUG
rnacentral:rRNA from 1 species